rnacentral:rRNA from 1 species
UACGGGAGGCAGCAGUGGGGAAUAUUGCACAAUGGGCGCAAGCCUGAUGCAGCCAUGCCGCGUGUAUGAAGAAGGCCUUCGGGUUGUAAAGUACUUUCAGUCGUGAGGAAGGUGUUAAGGUUAAUAACCUUAGCAUUGACGUUAGCGACAGAAGAAGCACCGGCUAACUCCGUGCCAGCAGCCGCGGUAAUACGGAGGGUGCGAGCGUUAAUCGGAAUUACUGGGCGUAAAGGGCACGCAGGCGGUUAAUUAAGUUGGAUGUGAAAUCCCCGGGCUUAACCUGGGAAUGGCAUUCAAGCUGGUUAGCUAGAGUCUUGUAGAGGGGGUAGAAUUCCAUGUGUAGCGGUGAAAUGCGUAGAGAUGUGGAGGAAUACCGGUGGCGAAGGCGGCCCCUGGACAAAGACUGACGCUCAUGUGCGAAAGCGUGGGGAGCAAAC